CGACCAGGUGCGCCUGUGCCCGGAAUGAGAAGAGAUCCUGGUGUGCCAGGCCCUGAAGUGGCCUGACCAUCUUUGGGUUGGAAAUUGCCUAUUGAUGAGGGCAAGAAGGAAGAAGCCCUGCUCCCUCUGGCACAAUCCCCAUGGGCAUAUUCCCAGAGAGGGGAGCCCCAAGAGGAACAAAGACUUCCCCAAAAUGUAGGGAGACAAAAUUAAAAGAUCUGUAAAAGUGGAAACAUGCAGACACAAAGAUGGAAGAGACAAAGGUAUGGGGAAUCCAAUUAUAACCUAGCUCUCAGAGCAAAGCAAAGCGAAAGUGCCUUAAACUCGCUAACAAAACAAAGGUCAGAGACCUAGAGUUGUUUCAGUUCUGCUCUGCAGGCCCAGGAGAUUCAGAACUGAGAAGAUAGCUAGGCUUAACUUCUUGAUGGUUUGAGAAUGAGGGAGGAGAGUGGAGGCAAAGCUGGGUGACGAAAGAGAGGCAUGGGGGAGGAAUUAUUACCCUAGAAACUAACAACAUAAAACUGUCAGGGUCCCAGCAGCUGCAACUCUAGGCCUAAAUGAGGUGAGCUGUCUUGGAGAACUGAAGUUCUGCCCCUUCCCUUCCUGACUUCAACACCACCUACCUCUUCUCUCUGGAGACUAGGCCUGGGGAUUACAUCUUAGACCGGGGACUGUGGAAGUUCAGCUAUGAAGAACUCUUUGGGGAAUCAUUCCCCCACCCCAAGAUUCCCAACUGGAAAUUAACUACUUGCUUGGGAAGAAAUGCAACCGGGGCAAGCUUCAACACCUGGAAGGCUGAGUUCAAGGAAGCCAACUACCCGGGUCGAAGUGAAGAAACCCCAGCAGACAGAGGCCCGCCGCCCACCUGUCAGCGGAGUAAUGAAUGCUUGCUCGGGGCCCUGGGCCCCCCUGGAGUCGUUCAUCACUGCCAGAACCGCCUACCUCUGCCUUCCGCCCGGAGGGCUUUGCGGCCGGGGCUGCAAGACCCUCUCUCCCCCCACCUCGAUCACUAAUUGUCAGAUUGAGAUGUUGAUUUGUCAGCUGGGAGCUAGCGCCAAAGAAUCUGCAGUAAAACCUGGACUCCUUGAACUUCCUUUAGACUCCACUCAGGUUCGUCCGGACUUGGAGCUUUUCUUAAUUUGACGUGGAUGGGUUGGAUUUCAUUCAAGAGAUCGGGGAUUAGAAAGCGAAGCAUCAUUCUGUUCCAAUUAGGAG
rnacentral:lncRNA from 1 species